AGAGUUUGAUUCUGGCUCAGGAUGAACGCUAGCGGCAGGCCUAAUACAUGCAAGUCGAGGGGCAGCAGGGGUAGCAAUACUCGCUGGCGACCGGCGCAUGGGUGCGUAACACGUAUGCAACUUUCCUUCAACUGGAAGAUAGCCCGAAGAAAUUCGGAUUAAUAUUCCAUUUAUAUGAAAUGGCAUCAUUUUAUAUUUAAAGCUCAGGCGGUUGAAGAUGGGCAUGCGUUCGAUUAGCUAGUUGGUGAGGUAAUGGCUCACCAAGGCUACGAUCGAUAGGGGAUCUGAGAGGAUUAACCCCCACACUGGUACUGAGACACGGACCAGACUCCUACGGGAGGCAGCAGUAAGGAAUAUUGGACAAUGGAGGCAACUCUGAUCCAGCCAUGCCGCGUGAAGGAUGAAGGUCCUAUGGAUUGUAAACUUCUUUUGAACGGGAGAAAACCUUCGGUCGUGUACCGAAGCUGAUAGUACCGUUAGAAUAAGGGUCGGCUAACUUCGUGCCAGCAGCCGCGGUAAUACGAAGGACCCGAGCGUUAUCCGGAUUUAUUGGGUUUAAAGGGUGCGUAGGCGGAAUGGUAAGUCAGUGGUGAAAUCUUGUGGCUUAACUGCAAAACUGCCAUUGAUACUGCCAAUCUUGAGUACAUUUGAUGUGGGCGGAAUGUGCCAUGUAGUGGUGAAAUACUUAGAUAUGGCACAGAACACCGAUCGCGAAGGCAGCUCACAAAACUGUUACUGACGCUGAGGCACGAAAGCGUGGGGAUCAAACAGGAUUAGAUACCCUGGUAGUCCACGCCUUAAACUAUGAUUACUCGAUGUGUGCGAUACACAGUACGCGUCUAAGCGAAAGCGUUAAGUAAUCCACCUGGGGAGUACGGUCGCAAGAUUGAAACUCAAAGAAAUUGACGGGGGCCCGCACAAGCGGAGGAGCAUGUGGUUUAAUUCGAUGAUACGCGAGGAACCUUACCUGGGCUUGAAAGUUAGUGAAUGCUGUGGAAACAUGGCAGGCCGCAAGGACACGAAACUAGGUGCUGCAUGGCUGUCGUCAGCUCGUGCCGUGAGGUGUUGGGUUAAGUCCCGCAACGAGCGCAACCCCUAUCUUUAGUUGCCAGCGAGUAAUGUCGGGGACUCUAAAGAAACUGCCCGUGCAAACGGUGAGGAAGGUGGGGAUGACGUCAAGUCAGCACGGCCCUUACGUCCAGGGCUACACACGUGCUACAAUGGCGAGUACAAAGGGCAGCUACAUGGUGACAUGAUGCUAAUCUCUAAAACUCGUCUCAGUUCGGAUUGAAGUCUGCAAUUCGACUUCAUGAAGCUGGAUUCGCUAGUAAUCGAAUAUCAGCAAUGAUUCGGUGAAUACGUUCCCGGGCCUUGUACACACCGCCCGUCAAACAAUGGGAGCUGAGGGUACUUAAAGUCGAUAACCGCAAGGAGUCGCCUAGGGUAAAAUCGGUAACUGGUGUUAAGUCGUAACAAGGUA
rnacentral:rRNA from 1 species